rnacentral:lncRNA from 1 species
UUUUCCGAUUAUAGAGCCGGAGAAUGUGAAAUUGGCUAAUAGAAAUUGUAGUCCGAGCCAAAGCAGUACCGUUGAGAACUCGCCACCGGUUAUGCCGGAGAACUCGCCGCCGGCAGUGAUGCUGGACACUUCACCAUUGGAUCUCAGCCUCGGUGGAUCCCGUAGUUUAUUUAGCAACGGUGUGGGUAGGGUUUUGUUCCAGAACCAUCAGUUUCACGGUUCUCCAGUCGCCGGAGGAAUCGCUGGAUGUAUUACGCCGGUGAAUCAUAUGUACUAUUUGGAAGCUCUUCAACGAGAGCGAGUGAUUUCUUCAUAUAAAAAAAGUUGCCGGAAAACGGCGGAGUUUAUCGCUGGUUGUGGUGGAGGCGCCUCCGGCGAGUCCGAUUCUUCGUCGGUGAUUGAUU